GUCUUCAUAUGUCAGACAGCUGCUGGAUAGAGCCCUGCAGCAGAUCAAAGAGUGUAGCAGCUUGAUCCAAGGAGCAGAUUUAAUUGGCUGAGGUUGUCUAAUUGCAGAGUUCCCAUACCAUUUAUGCUUCUAUUAGAAAUCCAGCACCUUUUCAAGAGCAGUAUACCUUGUGGUCUUGAUGAUUAUUGUCCAUGUUCAGUCACCAAGUCUUGGGAUGGAGGCAGGAUGACAAAACUGUUAACAGGAUCGGCUCAGCUGCAUGCCCUGGAGGCAUCAAUAAGGAUCCGAGGGUCCGUCACUUAAAACCCUCUGGUGCUGCCUCCCUGACAGCUACAAAACAACCAGCAUGUAUCUUUCUCAAAAAAUCAUUGCCAAGGACGAGGCUGCAAUAAAUCAAAGUACA